UACGUAGGUCGCAAGCGUUGUCCGGAUUUACUGGGCGUAAAGAGCGCGCAGGCGGCUGGUCAAGUCCGAUGUGAAAUCUCCCGGCUCAACUGGGAAACUGCAUCGGAAACUGAUCGGCUUGAAGAUGGGAGAGGGUAGUGGAAUUCCGCGUGUAGUGGUGAAAUGCGUAGAGAUGCGGAGGAACACCAGUGGCGAAAGCGGGUUGCUGGGCUGACACUGACGCUGAUGCGCGAAAGCCAGGGGAGCGAACGGG
rnacentral:rRNA from 1 species